GCCUUCAUGGCGCAGUGGUAACGCGUCGCACUUGUAAUGCGAAGAUCCCUAGUUCAAUUCUGGGUGAAGGCA
rnacentral:tRNA from 2 species